AACGAACGCUGGCGGCAUGCCUAAUACAUGCAAGUCGAACGAGGCAUUCGGGUACUUUUGCGCACGGGUGGGUAACCCGUGGGAAGCUUCCCUCGUGUUCGGAAUAACUCUCAGAAGGGGGUGCCAUUAGCGGAUAAUUUCUUCUGACCAAAGAUUUAUUGCCAUAGGAUGGUUCCGCGUUGAAUUAGCUAGUUGGUAGGGUAAAAGCCUACCAAGGCUACGUUCCAUAGCUGGUCUGAGAGGAUGAUCAGCCACACUGGGACUGAGACACGGCCCAGACUCCUACGGGAGGCAGCAGUGGGGAAUAUUGGACACUGGGCGAGAGCCUGAGCCAGCCAUGCCGCGUGAGUGAUGAAGGCCUGAGGGUUGUAAAGCUCUGUUAAACGCGAUGAUAAUGACAGUAACGGGAGAGUAAGCGCCGGCUAACUCCGUG
rnacentral:rRNA from 1 species